CAGUAGCCACGGUAAUACGAAGGGGGCUAGCGUUGCUCGGAAUCACUGGGCGUAAAGGGUGCGUAGGCGGGUUUUUAAGUCAGGGGUGAAAUCCUGGAGCUCAACUCCAGGACUGCCCUUGAUACUGGGAAUCUUGAGUAUGGGUGAGGUGAGUGGAACUGCGAGUGUAGAGGUGAAAUUCGUAGAUAUUCGCAAGAACACCAGUGGCGAAGGCGGCUCACUGGCCCAUAACUGACGCUGAGGCACGAAAGCGUGGGGAGCAAACAGGAUUAGAGACCCCUGUAGUCCCUGUCUUUAUACA
rnacentral:rRNA from 1 species